CCUACGGGUGGCAGCAGUGGGGAAUAUUGGACAAUGGGGGGAACCCUGAUCCAGCCAUGCCGCGUGUGUGAAGAAGGCCCUCGGGUUGUAAAGCACUUUCAGUGAGGAAGAACGCCUGGUGGUUAAUACCCAUCAGGAAAGACAUCACUCACAGAAGAAGCACCGGCUAACUCCGUGCCAGCAGCCGCGGUAAUACGGAGGGUGUGAGCGUUAAUCGGAAUUACUGGGCGUAAAGCGCGCGUAGGUGGCUUGAUAAGCCGGUUGUGAAAGCCCCGGGCUCAACCUGGGAACGGCAUCCGGAACUGUCAAGCUAGAGUGCAGGAGAGGAAGGUAGAAUUCCCGGUGUAGCGGUGAAAUGCGUAGAGAUCGGGAGGAAUACCAGUGGCGAAGGCGGCCUUCUGGACUGACACUGACACUGAGGUGCGAAAGCGUGGGUAGCAAAUAGGAUUAGAUACCCGAGUAGUC
rnacentral:rRNA from 1 species